UACAGAGGUCUCAAGCGUUGUUCGGAUUCAUUGGGCGUAAAGGGUGCGUAGGCGGCGCGGUAAGUCGGGUGUGAAAUCUCGGGGCUUAACUCCGAAACUGCAUUCGAUACUGCCGUGCUUGAGGACUGGAGAGGAGACUGGAAUUUACGGUGUAGCGGUGAAAUGCGUAGAUAUCGUAAGGAAGACCAGUGGCGAAGGCGGGUCUCUGGA
rnacentral:rRNA from 1 species